CUAAGCACCCCGCGUACAUCAAGCCAAUCGUCAUCUACCACGUGAUCAUUACCCUUCUACCCCACCUCGUCCUCCACCCUUGAGCGAGCGGGUUUAGAAUAACCCGUAACUCCGUCGUUCUACUCACUCGUAUGUUCGAUUUCGACCGGUUCGUGUCAUCGUUCCCUUCUUUCAUACUAUUCUUCGAGCUCUCGAAAACGUAUCUACGAUCUACGAUCAUGGAGGUUGCCAAAGCAAACGAUACAGCGAGUAGCCUAGUCGAACAAUCGAACGUUGAAUCGGCAUUGAAGUCGGUGAAAACGUUGCAGAGUACGCAAAGCGUACAAACCAAAUCAGUGAUCGAGUCGUCGACUUCCAUUAAAUCGGUGACCACGUCGUCGAGCAGGUCGCAUCGAUCGAUGGAGUACGAGGAGUCGGUUGAAUACACCGAUGAAUAAACUCAUCGCGCGGCGAAAUCCCAGAGUUCCACAAAAAACCAAGUGGACACCGAAUGUGGUCGAGGCUAAGGUGUUAACGGCAUGCUAAAUUAUUUGAUCGACUACAACUUAGUCCGAUCUAUUGCAUAGAAAACGAAGAAAAAAAUGUCCUCCGUCAUCUAAUGUCAUAAAGGUACGACUUACGACAAUGUUUAAGUUCAUUAAAGAUCUAUCUUCUUUUUUUUUGUCGAACGAAGAAAAAAGUCUUCCUUCGAUUAUUUUUUCUUUUCUUCUCGAAAUAUUCGAUAAUAUAAAAUAAUUUCAUGAAUUAAGGAAUAUAUCUUAAUCGUAAAAAUCUUACCGCAAAUGAUACGAACGGGUCGACGACAAAGAGAGAGAGGGGAGAGGGGAGAGAGAGAGAACAUAAAGGAAGAAAAGUUAUAAAAAUAAAAAAUAAAAAGAAAAUGUCUAAGAACAUGAAAAUGAAUCAACGUGGAAUACUUCGAGAAAAAUUGACUCUCUUUAUCGUACGACGACGGGUCAAGGCAAGAGCCAGGAAUGCCAGUCGCGAUCGAAGAUGUCUACGUUAAAGAAAAAGACAAGAAGAAUAAGAAGAAUAAGAGGAAGAAGAAGAAAAAGAAAAAGAAAAAAACAAAUACGCGGAGGAACGUCUGGAAGUCUCGGCUACGAGUUUGGCUCCACUCCAAAUGCCGGGUUCGCCGCCAAAUAGCAAAGAGCCCCUUCUUUUUUCUUUUACGAAUUCCCGUUCGUCUUUCUCCCCACUAUUGGACGUUCACCUCCCCCUAUACUCUAGUCCAAACCCUUUUCGCUCGAAUGUUCCGUCAUUGUCACGUCUUAAAAACCAGAUUUUCAUCCCAACGAAUCGUUUAAUCUUUGUACAAUAAAAUUUCUAAGACCGACACUUUGUUAUUCCCUUCUAAAAUCGAUUUAUCAUCAAUAUAAUUUAUCAUCAAAAAUAUUUUCACGAUAAUAAUAAUUGCAACAACAAAAAGAAAAAAAGAAAAGGAAUUCUUUUGUCAGAUCAACAUCGUAUUACAGCGUUGUAUCGUCAUUUUGAUAAUAAAUAAUAAUAAGUAAUUUAAA